AGCAGUCGCCACGGUAACACGGAGGGAGCUAGCGUUGUUCGGAAUUACUGGGCGUAAAGCGCGCGUAGGCGGUUACUCAAGUCAGAGGUGAAAGCCCGGGGCUCAACCCCGGAACUGCCUUUGAAACUAGGUGACUAGAAUCUUGGAGAGGUCAGUGGAAUUCCGAGUGUAGAGGUGAAAUUCGUAGAUAUUUGGAGGAACACCAGUGGCGAAGGCGGCUCACUGGACCAUUACUGACGCUGAGGUGCGAAAGCGUGGGGAGCAAACAGGAUUAGAUACCCGAGUAGUCCCUGUCUCUUAUAC
rnacentral:rRNA from 1 species